UGUAUGUAAGCGUAUUACCGGUGGAGUUCUUAUAUAUAUUAAAUACUUGUAUUUAUAUGUAUUCCUCCUAUUUAAACCUGCUUCAGUGCUCUUCAUUGCGUGCUGUUGUAGGCCGGUACAAUUACUUUGAACAAAUUAGAGUGCUUAAAGCAGGCUCCAAAUGCCUGAAUAUUUUGUGCAUGGAAUAAUGAAAUAAGACCUCUGUUCUACUUUCAUUGGUUUUUAGAUCAAGAGGUAAUGAUUAAUAGAAGCAGUUUGGGGGCAUUAGUAUUACGACGCGAGAGGUGAAAUUCUUGGACCGUCGUAAGACUAACUUAAGCGAAAGCAUUUGCCAAAGAUGUUUUCAUUAAUCAAGAACGAAAGUUAGAGGUUCGAAGGCGAUCAGAUACCGCCCUAGUUCUAACCAUAAACGAUGCCAGCUAGCAAUUGGGUGUAGCUACUAUUAUGGCUCUCUCAGUCGCUUCCCGGGAAACCAAAGCUUUUGGGCUCCGGGGGAAGUAUGGUUGCAAAGCUGAAACUUAAAGGAAUUGACGGAAGGGCACCACCAGGAGUGGAGCCUGCGGCUUAAUUUGACCCAACACGGGAAAACUUACCAGGUCCGAACAUAAGCGUGUAAGACAGAUUGAUAGCUCUUUCUCGAAUCUAUGGGUGGUGGUGCAUGGCCGUUCUUAGUUCGUGGAGUGAUUUGUCUGGUUAAUUCCGAUAACGAACGAGACUCAAGUAUAUUAAAUAGAUGCUUUCAGGAUUAUGGUGUUUGAAGCUUUUAUAGCCUUCAUUCAUGAAUGCAGUAACAUGUGUGAGUGUUUGAAUGUGUUUAUAAAGGUGGAGCCGUACCUGUUGGUUUGUCCCAUUAUAAGGACACUAGCUUCUUAAAUGGACAAAUUGCGUCUAGCAAUAAUGAGAUUGAGCAAUAACAGGUCUGUGAUGCCCUUAGAUGUCCUGGGCUGCACGCGCGCUACAAUGAAAGUAUCAACGUGUAUUUCCUAGACCGAGAGGUCCGGGUAAACCGCUGAACCACUUUCAUGCUUGGGAUUGUGAACUGAAACUGUUCACAUGAACUUGGAAUUCCCAGUAAGUGUGAGUCAUUAACUCGCAUUGAUUACGUCCCUGCCCUUUGUACACACCGCCCGUCGCUACUACCGAUUGAAUUAUUUAGUGAGGUCUCCGGACGUGAUCACUGUAACGCCUUGCGUGUUACGGAUGUUUCGCAAAAGUUGACCGAACUUGAUUAUUUAGAGGAAGUAAAAGUC
rnacentral:rRNA from 1 species